CCCCCGGGGCAAACGGAGGUGUCAGCGUCAGGAGCCAUCCUAACUGAGGCCCUGGUAGGGUGCCUCUUUCCCUUCGGUCGCCAUGGACACUGUGCCGGACGCCUCUGGCAGGACUAACCCCGUGGCUUUUCUGUCCAGCGUGCUGUGCUGUGCUGUGUGUGCCUGCAGAAUUGCCACGGGAGGAAAUACUUCAGAGGGGCGUCCCUCCGGAUAAGCCCUGAAUGUGCCAGGAGGUUUCAGCCGGGAGGAAAGGAGCUGUGGAAGAAAAGCAGCCUAAAAAUAGCCAGCGGGGAUCAUCAG